rnacentral:rRNA from 1 species
AAGGAUCAUUACAGAGUGUUUAGGGUCCCUUCUUGGGGCCCGACCUCCAACCCCAUGUGUACCUGUCCACGUUGCUUCGGUGGCUCUGGCCUUCCCACUCAGGGGGGCCACCCGCCGAGGAACCACAAAACUCUUGUAAAUACGUGCCGUCUGAGUCUUUUAGCGAAUUAAAUUAAAACUUUCAACAACGGAUCUCUUGGUUCUGGCAUCGAUGAAGAACGCAGCGAAAUGCGAUAAGUAAUGUGAAUUGCAGAAUUCAGUGAAUCAUCGAAUCUUUGAACGCACAUUGCGCCCUCUGGUAUUCCGGAGGGCAUGCCUGUUCGAGCGUCAUUAUCACCAAUCAAGCUCGGCUUGUAAUUGGGCCUCGUCCCCCUAAUUAAAAGGGGGACGGGCCUGGAAAUCGGUGACGGCCGCGUCCGAUCCUCAGCGUAGUAAGAUUUCAUAUCGUCGCUUCCGGGUUGGGCGCUGUGCGGUCAGAAUUCGUCUUCGGACACUUCAAUGGUUGACCUCGGAUCAGGUAGGGAUACCCGCUGAACUUAA